rnacentral:rRNA from 1 species
GAUAAACGCUGGCGGCGUGCCUAACACAUGCAAGUCGAACGUCCUCGUCUUUCGGGACGAGGGAGUGGCGGACGGGUGAGUAGCACGUAGGUACCUACCCUGGAGUGGGGAAUACCGCCGAGAAAUCGACGACAAUUCCGCAUACGCUCUCUCUUUAUGGAGAGAGCAAAGCCUUCGGGUGCUCAGGGAUGGGCCUGCGGCUGAUUAGCUAGUUGGUGGGGUAAAAGCCUACCAAGGCUCUGAUCAGUAGCUGGUCUGAGAGGAUGAUCAGCCACAC